AUUGAACGCUGGCGGCAGGCCUAACACAUGCAAGUCGAACGAGUGGCGGACGGGUGAGUAAUGUCUGGGAAACUGCCCGAUGGAGGGGGAUAACUACUGGAAACGGUAGCUAAUACCGCAUACCAUCGGAUGUGCCCAGAUGGGAUUAGCUAGUAGGUGGGGUAACGGCUCACCUAGGCGACGAUCCCUAGCUGGUCUGAGAGGAUGACCAGCCGCACUGGAACUUGGACACGGUCCCACAUCCUAAGGGAGGCAGCGGUGGGGAAUAUUGCGCAAUGGGCGCAAGCCUGAUGCAGCCAUGCCGCGUGAAUGAAGAAGGCCUUCGGGUUGUAAAGUACUUUCAGCGAGGAGGCGUUACUCGCAGAAGAAGCACCGGCUAACUCCGUGCCAGCAGCCGCGGUAAUUC
rnacentral:rRNA from 1 species